rnacentral:rRNA from 1 species
AUUGAACGCUGGCGGCAGGCCUAACACAUGCAAGUCGAGCGGAGCGGCGGACGGGUGAGUAAGGCCUAGGAAUCUGCCUGGCAGUGGGGGAUAACGACCGGAAAGGGGCGCUAAUACCGCAUGCUAUCAGAUGAGCCUAGGUUGGAGUAGCUAGUUGGUGGGGUAAAGGCCUACCAAGGCGACGAUCCGUAACUGGUCUGAGAGGAUGAACAGUCACACUGGAACUGAGACACGGUCCAGACUCCUACGGGAGGCAGCAGUGGGGAAUAUUGGACAAUGGGCGAAAGCCUGAUCCAGCCAUGCCGCGUGUGUGAAGAAGGUCUUCGGAUUGUAAAGCACUUUAAGUUGGGAGGCGUUACCAACAGAAUAAGCACCGGCUAACUUCGUGCCAGCAGCCGCGGUAAUUC